rnacentral:pre_miRNA from 1 species
CUCAUCUGUCUGUUGGGUUGGAGGCAGGGCCUUUGUGAAGGCGAGUGGUGCUCAGAUCGCCUCUGGGCCCUUCCUCCAGCCCAGAGGCGGAUUC